rnacentral:rRNA from 1 species
CCUGAAACCGUGUACGUACAAGCAGUGGGAGCACCCUUUUGGGUGUGACUGCGUACCUUUUGUAUAAUGGGUCAGCGACUUAUAUUCUGUAGCAAGGUUAACCGAAUAGGGGAGCCGGAGGGAAACCGAGUCUUAAUUGGGCGUUAAGUUGCAGGGUAUAGACCCGAAACCCGGUGAUCUAGCCAUGGGCAGGUUGAAGGUUGGGUAACACUAACUGGAGGACCGAACCGACUAAUGUUGAAAAAUUAGCGGAUGACCUGUGGCUGGGGGUGAAAGGCCAAUCAAACCGGGAGAUAGCUGGUUCUCCCCGAAAGCUAUUUAGGUAGCGCCUCGUGAAUUCAUCUCCGGGGGUAGAGCACUGUUUCGGCUAGGGGGCCAUCCCGGCUUACCAACCCGAUGCAAACUGCGAAUACCGGAGAAUGUUAUCACGGGAGACACACGGCGGGUGCUAACGUCCGUCGUGAAGAGGGAAACAACCCAGACCGCCAGCUAAGGUCCCAAAGUCAUGGUUAAGUGGGAAACGAUGUGGGAAGGCCCAGACAGCCAGGAUGUUGGCUUAGAAGCAGCCAUCAUUUAAAGAAAGCGUAAUAGCUCACUGGUCGAGUCGGCCUGCGCGGAAGAUGUAACGGGGCUAAACCAUGCACCGAAGCUGCGGCAGCGACGUUUAUGCGUUGUUGGGUAGGGGAGCGUUCUGUAAGCCUGCGAAGGUGGCAUG